rnacentral:rRNA from 1 species
GAUGAACGCUGGCGGCGUGCCUAAUACAUGCAAGUCGAGCGAAUGGAUUAAGAGCUUGCUCUUAUGAAGUUAGCGGCGGACGGGUGAGUAACACGUGGGUAACCUGCCCAUAAGACUGGGAUAACUCCGGGAAACCGGGGCUAAUACCGGAUAACAUUUUGAACCGCAUGGUUCGAAAUUGAAAGGCGGCUUCGGCUGUCACUUAUGGAUGGACCCGCGUCGCAUUAGCUAGUUGGUGAGGUAACGGCUCACCAAGGCAACGAUGCGUAGCCGACCUGCGAGGGUGAUCGGCCACACUGGGACUGGAACACGGCCCAGACUCCUACGGGAGGCAGCAGUAGGGAAUCUUCCGCAAUGGACGAAAGUCCGACGGAGCAACGCCGCGUGAGUGAUGAAGGCGUUCGGGUCGUAAAACUCUGUUGUUAGGGAAGAACAAGUGCUAGUUGAAUAAGCUGGCACCUUGACGGUACCUAACCAAAAAGCCACGGCUAACUACGUGCCAGCAGCCGCAGUAA